UACGAAGGGGGCUAGCGUUGUUCGGAAUCACUGGGCGUAAAGCGCACGUAGGCGGAUUCUUAAGUCAGGGGUGAAAUCCCGAGGCUCAACCUCGGAACUGCCUUUGAUACUGGGGAUCUCGAGUUCGGGAGAGGUGAGUGGAAUUGCGAGUGUAGAGGUGAAAUUCGUAGAUAUUCGCAAGAACACCAGUGGCGAAGGCGGCUCACUGGCCCGAUACUGACGCUGAGGUGCGAAAGCGUGGGGAGCAAACAGG
rnacentral:rRNA from 1 species